rnacentral:rRNA from 1 species
AUUGAACGCUGGCGGCAUGCCUUACACAUGCAAGUCGAACGGUAGAGGGGGCAACCUCUCGAGAGUGGCGAACGGGUGAGUAAAGCAUCGGAACGUGCCCAGUAGUGGGGGAUAGCCCGGCGAAAGCCGGAUUAAUACCGCAUGAGACCUACGGGUGAAAGGGGGGGAUCGCAAGACCUCUCGCUAUUGGAGCGGCCGAUGUAAGAUUAGGUAGUUGGUGGGGUAAAGGCCUACCAAGCCGACGAUUUGUAGCUGGUCUAAGAGGACGAUCAGCCACACUGGGACCGAGAAACGGCCCAGACCCCUACGAGAGGCGGAAGUGGGGAAUUUUGGACAAUGGGCGAAAGCCUGAUCCAGCAAGGCCGCGUGUGUGAAGAAGGCCUUCGGGUUGUAAAGCACUUUUGCCCGGAAAGAAAUGGCUCUGGUUAAUACCUGGGGGCGAUGACGGUACCGGAAGAAUAAGGACCGGCUAACUACGUGCCAGCAGCCGCCGUAA